rnacentral:tRNA from 1 species
GGGUUAGUGGUCUAGUGGUAUGAUUCUCGCUUAGGGUGCGAGAGGUCCUGGGUUCAAUUCCUGGCUAACCCC